GAACGCACAUGGCGCCUUCCAGUAUCCUGGGAGGCAUGCCUGUCCGAGCGUCGUUUCAACCCUCGAGCCCCCGUGGCCCGGCGUUGGGGAUCUGCCCAGGCAGUCCCCGAAAACCAGUGGCGGACCCGUUACAGGCCCUUCCCUUGCGUAGUAGCAUUCGCCUCGCAUCGGGAGCCGGCGGGCUUCCAGCCUCUAAACCCCCAUCAAGUCCGCCCCGGCGGCACCAAGGUUGACCUCGGAUCAGGUAGGAAUACCCGCUGAACUUA
rnacentral:misc_RNA from 1 species